AGGGGUUUUGAUCCUGGCUCAGAACGAACGCUGGCGGCAUGGCUAAGACAUGCAAGUCGAACGGACUAUAUGAUUGAGUAAUCGAGACUAUAGUUAGUGGCGAAAGGGCGAGGAAUAAAUAGGUAACGUACCCCGAUCUCCAGAAUAGCGUCAGGAUACUUCGGUAUCCAUCCGAAAGGGGCAAUAAUACUGGAUAAUAUCAUCUGUUUAAUGCAGAUGAUCAAAGAUUUAUCGGUUUGGGAGCGGCCUAUUUCCCAUCAGCUUGUUGGUAAGGUAACGGCUUACCAAGGCUACGACGGGUAUCGGGACUGAGAGGUUGACCCGACGCAUCGGAACUGAGACACUGUCCGGACCUCCACGGAGGGCUGCAGUAACGAAUAUUGCACAAUGGGCGAAAGCCUGAUGCAGCAAUGCCGCGUGUAGGAUGAAGCUCCUCGGAGUGUAAACUACUGUCAGGGGUUAGAAAGUCUUCGGAUUGAUCAGCCCCAGAGGAAGUCACGGCUAACUUCGUGCCAGCAGCCGCGGUAAUACGAAGGUGGCAAGCGUUGUUCGGAAUCACUGGGCUUAAAGCGCACGUAGGCGGAACAGAAAGUGUCUUGUGAAAGCCCCCGGCUUAACCGGGGGAAUUGCUCGGCAAACUCCUGUUCUUGAGUCAAGUAGGGGUACAUGGAACUC
rnacentral:rRNA from 1 species